rnacentral:misc_RNA from 1 species
AACAAGGCGUACCUGCGGACCUGCGGAGGGAUCAUUACCGAGUUAUACAACUCAUCAACCCCUGUGAACUUACCUACAACGUUGCUUCGGCGGGAACAGACGGCCCCGUAAAACGGGCCGCCCCCGCCAGAGGACCCCUAACUCUGUUUUUAUAAUGUUUUUCUGAGUAAACAAGCAAAUAAAUUAAAACUUUCAACAACGGAUCU